UGGUAGUNCACGCCCUAAACGAUGUCGAUUAGCUGUUGGGCAGCAUGACUGCUUAGUAGCGAAGCUAACGCGUGAAAUCGACCGCCUGGGGAGUACGGUCGCAAGAUUAAAACUCAAAGGAAUUGACGGGGACCCGCACAAGCGGUGGAUGAUGUGGAUUAAUUCGAUGCAACGCGAAGAACCUUACCUGGUCUUGACAUGUGCGGAACCCUCCAGAGACGGAGGGGUGCCUUCGGGAGCCGUAACACAGGUGCAGCAUGGCUGUCGUCAGCUCGUGUCGUGAGAUGUUGGGUUAAGUCCCGCAACGAGCGCAACCCUUGUCAUUAGUUGCCAUCAUUAAGUUGGGCACUCUAAUGAGACUGCCGGUGACAAGCCGGAGGAAGGUGGGGAUGACGUCAAGUCCUCAUGGCCCUUAUGACCAGGGCUUCACACGUCAUACAAUGGUCGGUACAGAGGGUAGCCAAGCCGCGAGGUGGAGCCAAUCUCACAAAACCGAUCGUAGUCCGGAUUGCACUCUGCAACUCGAGUGCAUGAAGUCGGAAUCGCUAGUAAUCGCAGGUCAGCAUACUGCGGUGAAUACGUUCCCGGGUCUUGUACACACCGCCCGUCACACCAUGGGAGUGGGGGAUACCAGAAGUAGGUAGGGUAACCGCAAGGAGCCC
rnacentral:rRNA from 1 species